UACGGAGGGUGCAAGCGUUAGUCGGAAUUACUGGGCGUAAAGGGUGCGUAGGCGGGUAUAUAAGUCAGAUGUGAAAUUCCGAGGCUCAACCUCGGAGCUGCAUAUGAAACUGUAUAUCUUGCGGAAUGGCGGAGAAAAUGGAAUUCCACAUGUAGCGGUGAAAUGCGUAGAUAUGUGGAAGAACACCUGUGGCGAAAGCGGUUUUCUAGCCUACUCCGGACGCUGAGGCACGAAAGCAAGGGGAUCAAACAGG
rnacentral:rRNA from 1 species